GGGCAGGGAGACGUUACGGGCCAUUGAGUCGGGUUUCCCUUUGCAGAGCCCCCCCGCCCAGUCCCGCGGGGGGUGAUGGCAGGAGAGGGCUAAGAUCAGGCAAGCGCGGGUUCCCCUCUGACACUUUGUGUGAAUGUUUCCCAGGCACAACAGAAGCACGUCGGCUGAUCCCCCUCCAACGCGUGUAAAGACAAGCGAGAAUCUCCAGGGGGAGAAUAUCAGGAGAACUGAGCAUCAAACCCACCUGACUCCACUAUUUCUUCUCCAAAUAGUGAUUGUGAUGAGGAGAAAAUUGUGAAGAAGCGAAUGGGUGCAAUUGGGAAACUUACCCAGAGUCCAUGACAAUUUGUCUGUCUAAUGAACUACCCUGGCUGUUGUGUGAGAACCAUUUUGGUUUUAUUACUGGUGGUGAUACUACUUUUCAACCUUGGAAGCUGUCCUCUGCCUUGGAAGAUUCAGGAGAAAGACUGGUAGCUAUAGAGCACCUAUGAUGGGGAUAUCCCUCCUAUAUUGUGGAAAGAAUAUAAGAUGAGCUUCACAAUUUCAUUAUGGUCGCUUUCAUAUGCAGGAAGCUUUUCAGUUUAAGAGAAAAUCUGAAUGUCACUUUCAUAUAACACAAACAUUGUAAAAGCAAUAUCUGUGUAUCAGCAUUUCACUGUGUAUUUUAAAGGGUAAUUAAAAACCACUUAAGAAAUAAAUUUAUAUUUAUGUUUUAA